AUGGCCCAAGUCAGACUAGUUUCCAGCCUUGCUGAUGUUGACGCUGCGCUUCAAGGUCUACAGAUCACUCAGAUGAAUCAAGCUGGUCAGGUUCAAUUUCAGUUGCAUGAGGAAGCCCCCCUCGAAGAAGCAGCAAAGAUCGGUGAGAGGACCCGUCCAGGAAGGCAUGGAUUCAUACUUGUGAAUCCAGAGUUGUUGGAGUGCAAGACUAAGACCAAGGGGGUAUUAGAGAGGUCCUUCAAAAACAUGCUUGCCGCAACCCUGCAGCGGACUGAUAAAGAGAUGCUGGAAGUUGACGCAAGCAUCUCAGUAUUGAAGGUCCUUGUGCUCAAGAAUGAUGAUGAGAUGGAUCAGCUGGGACCUCACGGACCUCCACUUAACGAAAGAAACCGGGGAGUACAGCAAGUCAUCUAUCCACAUCCUCCCUUCCCAGAAGAUCCUAGCUUUGAGCAUGGAACAACCCCACAGAGAGUCCCAUAUCAAGCUGCUUAUGGUACACAACAAGAGAGGGAUGAGGCAGCUGCUCGUGACAGGUGUGCCCAGAGGGCCCUCUGGCAUGCCAAACUCUGUAUUUUGGAGAUGAGGCAGUCCAUCUUGAAGGACAAGAGGUCUGAGAUGAUGUCAAAGAUGACGGCGGUAUUCAAUAGGAUUAUGGAGGAACCAUCUCACUUAGGGGUUGGUUACGCGGACAAUGAAUUUCCUCCACUGGCGUAG
rnacentral:rRNA from 1 species